UACGUAGGGGGGCUAGCGUUGUCCGGAUUUAUUGGGCGUAAAGAGCGUGUAGGCGGCCAUGUAGGUCCGGUGUGAAAACUCGAGGCUUAACCUCGAGAUGUCAUCGGGAAACCAUUUGGCUAGAGUCCGGAAGAGGAGAGUGGAAUUCCUGGUGUAGCGGUGAAAUGCGCAGAUAUCAGGAAGAACACCAAUGGCGAAAGCAGCUCUCUGGGACGGUACUGACGCUGAGACGCGAAAGCGUGGGGAGCGAACAGG
rnacentral:rRNA from 1 species